UUGGAGAGUUUGAUCCCGGCUCAGGAUAAACGCUGGCGGCGUGCUUUAUGCAUGCAAGUCGAACGGUCUGCUGUUCCAAGCUUGCUUGGGAUGCCAGAUAGUGGCGAACGGGUGAGUAACGCGUAAGUAACCUGCCCCUAAGUAGGGGAUAACUCUGAGAAAUUAGAGCUAAUACCAUAUAUGGUGAUGGAGGUAAUGCUUCAUCACUAAAGCUUUAGGGCGCUUAGGGAGGGGCUUGCGUCCGAUUAGCUGGUUGGUAGGGUAAUGGCUUACCAAGGCGAUGAUCGGUAGCUGGUUUGAGAGGACAUCCAGCCACACUGGGACUUAGAUACGGCCCAGACUCCUACGGGAGGCAGCAGCAAGGAAUUUUGUGCAAUGGGCGAAAGCCUGACACAGCGACGCCGCGUGGGGGAUGAAGGCCCUCGGGUUGUAAACCCCUUUUCUCAGGGAAGAAUAAUGACGGUACCUGAGGAAUAAGUCUUGGCUAACUACGUGCCAGCAGCCGCGGUAAUACGUAGGAGGCGAGCGUUAUCCGGAUUUACUGGGCGUAAAGAGGGCGUAGGCGGUCUUUCAAGUCGAUUGUAAAAUCUCCCGGCUUAACUGGGAGGGGCCAUUCGAUACUGUUGGACUAGAGGGCAGCAGGAGGAGGUGGAAUUCCCGGUGGAGUGGUGAAAUGUGUAGAUAUCGGGAGGAACACCAGUGGCGAAAGCGGCCUCCUAGGCUGUUUCUAACGCUGAGGCCCGAAAGCGUGGGUAGCAAACAGGAUCAGAUACCCUGGUAGUCCACGCCGUAAACGAUGGACACUAGGUAUAGGGAGUAUCGACCCUCUCUGUGCCGAAGCUAACGCAUUAAGUGUCCCGCCUGGGGAGUACGGCCGCAAGGCUAAAACUCAAAGGAAUUGACGGGGGCCCGCACAAGCAGCGGAGCGUGUGGUUUAAUUCGAUGCAACGCGAAGAACCUUACCAAGGCUUGACAUGUCGGAAGUAGCGACCUGAAAGGGAAGCCACCUGUUGAAUCAGGAACCGUCACAGGUGCUGCAUGGCUGUCGUCAGCUCGUGCCGUGAGGUGUUAGGUUAAGUCCUGUAACGAGCGCAACCCCUGUUGCUAGUUGUUUUCUCUAGCGAGACUGCCCUGUAAAAUGGGGAGGAAGGUGGGGAUGACGUCAAGUCAGCACGGCCCUUAUGCCUUGGGCUACACACACGCUACAAUGGGUGGUACAAUGGGUAGCAAUAGAGCAAUCUGGAGCCAAUCCUGUAAAGCCAUCCUCAGUUCGGAUUGCAGGCUGAAACCCGCCUGCAUGAAGUUGGAGUUGCUAGUAACUGCAGGUCAGCAUACUGCGGUGAAUACGUUCUCGGGCCUUGUACACACCGCCCAUCACGUCAUGAAAGUUGGCAACACCUGAAGUCGAUGGGCUAACCCCGACUUGUCGGGGAGGCAGUCGCCGAGGGUGGGGUUGAUGAUUGGGACGAAGUUGUAACAAGGUAGCCGUAGCGGAAGCUGCGGCUGAAUCACCUCCUUU
rnacentral:rRNA from 1 species